AUUGAACGCUGGCGGAAUGCUUUACACAUGCAAGUCGAACGGCAGCACGGACUUCGGUCUGGUGGCGAGUGGCGAACGGGUGAGGAAUGUAUCUGAACGUGCCCAGUCGUGGGGGAUAACGUAGUGAAAAUUACGCUAAUACAGCAUACCAUCCAUUGAUGAAAGCGGGCGAUGGCAAGACCUCGCGCGAUUGGAGCGGCCGAUAUCAGAUUAGGUAGUUGGUGGGGUAAAGGCCGACCAAGCCAACGAUCUGUAGCUGGUCUGAGAGGACGACCAGCCACACUGGAACGGAGACACGGUCCAGACUCCUACGGGAGGCAGCAGUGGGGAAUUUUGGACAAUGGGCGAAAGCCUGAUCCAGCCAUUCCGCGUGCAGGAUGAAGGCCCUCGGGCUGUAAACUGCUUUUGUACAGAACGAAAAGGUUUCUACUAAUACUAGGAGCUCAUGACGGUACUGUAAGAAUAAGCACCGGCUAACUACGUGCCAGCAGCCGCCGUAA
rnacentral:rRNA from 1 species